AAUGAACGUUGGCGGCGUGGAUUAGGCAUGCAAGUCGCGCGGAAAGGCCCCGCAAGGGGUGCUCGAGCGGCGUAAGGGACAGUAAUGCGUAGAUACCUACCCUUCGGCCCGGGAUAGCUGCGGGAAACUGCAAUUAAUACCGGAUGACGUCGAUGAGCGAAAGUUCAUCGUCCAAAGGUGUGAUUCCACCGUUGGAUGGGUCUGCGUCCUAUUAGCUAGUUGGUGAGGUAACGGCNCACCAAGGCGAAGAUGGGUAGCAGGUGUGAGAGCACGACCUGCGUCACUGGGACUGAGACACUGCCCAGACACCUACGGGUGCUGCAGUCGAGAAUCUUC
rnacentral:rRNA from 1 species